CUGGCGGCGUGCUUAACACAUGCAAGUCGAACGAAAAGAGGGAAAGAGCUUGCUCUUUCCGGAAUUGAGUGGCAAACGGGUGAGUAACACGUAAACGACCUGCCUUCAGGAUGGGGACAACAGACGGAAACGACUGCUAAUACCGAAUAAGUUCCAAGAGCCGCAUGGCCCAUGGAAGAAAAGGUGGCCUCUACCUGUAAGCUAUCGCCUGAAGAGGGGUUUGCGUCUGAUUAGCUGGUUGGAGGGGUAACGGCCCACCAAGGCGACGAUCAGUAGCCGGUCUGAGAGGAUGAACGGCCACACUGGAACUGAGACACGGUCCAGACUCCUACGGGAGGCAGCAGUGGGGAAUCUUCCGCAAUGGGCGAAAGCCUGACGGAGCAACGCCGCGUGAGUGAUGACGGCCUUCGGGUUGUAAAACUCUGUGAUCCGGGACGAAAAGGCAGAGUUGCGAAGAACAAACUGCAUUGACGGUACCCGGAAAAGCAAGCCACAGCUAACUACGUGCCAGCAG
rnacentral:rRNA from 1 species